rnacentral:rRNA from 1 species
GUAUGCAACCUACCUUAAUCAGGGGGAUAGCCUCUCGAAAGAGAGAUUAACACCGCAUAACAUCAUUUUACGGCAUCGUAGAAUGAUCAAAUAUUUAUAGGAUUAAGAUGGGCAUGCGUGACAUUAGUUUGUUGGUGAGGUAACGGCUCACCAAGACUACGAUGUCUAGGGGAUCUGAGAGGAUGACCCCCCACACUGGUACUGAGACACGGACCAGACUCCUACGGGAGGCAGCAGUAAGGAAUAUUGGUCAAUGGAGGCAACUCUGAACCAGCCAUGCCGCGUGCAGGAAGACGGCCCUAUGGGUUGUAAACUGCUUUUAUACGGGAAUAAACCUCGCUACGUGUAGUGAGCUGAAUGUACUGUAAGAAUAAGGAUCGGCUAACUCCGUGCCAGCAGCCGCGGUAAUACGGAGGAUCCAAGCGUUAUCCGGAUUUAUUGGGUUUAAAGGGUGCGUAGGCGGCCUAUUAAGUCAGGGGUGAAAGACGGUGGCUCAACCAUCGCAGUGCCCUUGAUACUGAUGGGCUUGAUUACACUUGAGGUAGGCGGAAUGUGACAAGUAGCGGUGAAAUGCAUAGAUAUGUCACAGAACACCAAUUGCGAAGGCAGCUUACUAAGGUGUUAAUGACGCUGAGGCACGAAAGCGUGGGGAUCAAACAGGAUUAGAUACCCUGGUAGUCCACGCCCUAAACGAUGAAUACUCGAUGUUAGCGAUAUACAGUUAGCGUCAAAGCGAAAGCGUUAAGUAUUCCACCUGGGAGUACGCCCGCAAGGGUGAAACUCAAAGGAAUUGACGGGGG